UACGAAGGGGGCUAGCGUUGUUCGGAAUUACUGGGCGUAAAGCGCGUGUAGGCGGUUGCCCAAGUCGCGUGUGAAAGCCCCCGGCUCAACUGGGGAGGGUCAUUCGAUACUGAUCGACUCGAAGGCAGGAGAGGGUAGUGGAAUUCCCGGUGUAGUGGUGAAAUGCGUAGAUAUCAGGAGGAACACCGGUGGCGAAGGCGCACAUCUGGCCCGAUACUGACGCUGAGGCGCGAAAGCUAGGGGAGCAAACAGG
rnacentral:rRNA from 1 species